CCUACGGGCGGCAGCAGUGGGGAAUAUUGCACAAUGGGGGAAACCCUGAUGCAGCGACGCCGCGUGAGUGAAGAAGUAAUUCGUUAUGUAAAGCUCUAUCAGCAGGGAAGAAAAUGACGGUACCUGAGUAAGAAGCCCCGGCUAACUACGUGCCAGCAGCCGCGGUAAUACGUAGGGGGCAAGCGUUAUCCGGAUUUACUGGGUGGAAAGGGAGCGUAGACGGCAGUGCAAGUCUGGAGUGAAAGGCGGGGGCUCAACCCCCGGACUGCUCUGGAAACUGUACGGCUGGAGUGCAGGAGAGGUAAGUGGAAUUCCUAGUGUAGCGGUGAAAUGCGUAGAUAGUAGGAGGAACACCAGUGGCGAAGGCGGCUUACUGGACUGUAACUGACGUUGAGGCUCGAAAGCGUGGGGAGCAAACAGGAUUAGAUACCCUUGUAGUC
rnacentral:rRNA from 1 species